rnacentral:rRNA from 1 species
GAUGAACGAUGGCGGCGUGCCUAAUACAUGCAAGUCGAGCGAACGGACGAGAAGCUUGCUUCUCUGAUGUUAGCGGCGGACGGGUGAGUAACACGUGGAUAACCUACCUAUAAGACUGGGAUAACUUCGGGAAACCGGAGCUAAUACCGGAUGAUAUUUUGAACCGCAUGGUUCAAAAGUGAAAGACGGUCUUGCUGUCACUUAUAGAUGGAUCCGCGCUGCAUUAGCUAGUUGGCAAGGUAACGGCUUACCAAGGCAACGAUGCAUAGCCGACCUGAGAGGGUGAUCGGCCACACUGGAACUGAGACACGGUCCAGACUCCUACGGGAGGCAGCAGUAGGGAAUCUUCCGCAAUGGGCGAAAGCCUGACGGAGCAACGCCGCGUGAGUGAUGAAGGUCUUCGGAUCGUAAAACUCUGUUAUUAGGGAAGAACAUAUGUGUAAGUAACUGUGCACAUCUUGACGGUACCUAAUCAGAAAGCCACGGCUAACUACGUG